rnacentral:rRNA from 1 species
AUUGAACGCUGGCGGCAGGCCUAACACAUGCAAGUCGAACGAGUGGCGGACGGGUGAGUAAUGUCUGGGAAACUGCCUGAUGGAGGGGGAUAACUACUGGAACCGGUAGCUAAUACCGCAUACCAUCAGAUGUGCCCCGAUGGGAUUAGCUAGUGGGUGGGGUAAUGGCUCACCUAGGCGACGAUCCCUAGCUGGUCGGAGAGGAUGACCAGCGACACUGGAACUGAGACACGGUCCAGGCGCCUACGGGAGGCAGCAGUGGGGAAUAUGGCACAAUGGGCGCGAGCCUGAUGCAGCGAUGCCGCGUGUGUGAAGAAGGCCUUCGGGUUGUAAAGCACUUUCAGCGGGGAGGCGUUACUCGCAGAAGAAGCACCGGCUAACUCCGUGCCAGCAGCCGCGGUAAUUC